rnacentral:rRNA from 1 species
GGAGGUAGUGACAAUAAAUCACAAUGCGGGACUGUUAGUCUUGCAAUUGGAUUGAGAACAACGUACAACUCUUAUCGAUAAGCCAUUGGAGGGCAAGUCUGGUGCCAGCAGCCGCGGUAAUUCCAGCUCCAAUAGCGUAUAUUAACGUUGUUGCAGUUAAAAAGCUCGUAGUUGAAGUGAGGGAGUGUGUGGUCAGGACAGCUAGUCUGGAGUGUUCGCAACCUCCCCCCUCCAAUCGGUGUAGUGGGGUAUUCAGUUAUUUCACUACUCCUUUGGUCGUUUACUGUGAGAAAAUUAGAGUGUUCAAAGCGGGCGUUUGUUUGAAUAGAUUAGCAUGGAAUAAUGAUUGAAGGCUUUCGUGUUCGAUUUGAUUGGUUUGUUCAUGGAAGCAAGGUUAAAAGGAACAGUUGGGGGUAUUCAUAUUCACUAGUUAGAGGUGAAAUUCUCGGAUUUAUGGAAGAUGAACAGGUGCGAAAGCA